rnacentral:rRNA from 1 species
UACGAAGGGGGCUAGCGUUGCUCGGAAUUACUGGGCGUAAAGCGCACGUAGGCGGCUUUCUAAGUCGGGGGUGAAAUCCUGGAGCUCAACCUUGGAAUUGCAUUUGAGACUGAAUAGCUAGGGUGCGGAAGAGGGAAGCGGAAUUUCCGGUGUAGCGGUGAAAUGCGUAGAUAUCGGAAGGAACACCAGUGGCGAAAGCGGCUUCCUGGUCCAGCACCGACGUUCAGGCACGAAAGCGUGGGGAGCAAACAGG